GGUACAGUGGUGCAGUGGUUAGCACUGUUGCCUCAUGCAGCAAGAAGGUUAUUGGUUCAAAUUCCAGUUUGAAUCA
rnacentral:tRNA from 14 species